UACUGAGUGGCAAACGGGUGAGUAUAAUGUGGGAAUCUGCCUUUUGGUCUGGAAUAACACGGGGAAACUUGUGCUAAUACCGGAUAAGCCCUUACGGGGAAAGUUUUAAUGCCGAAAGAUGAGCCUGCACUUGAUUAGCUAGUUGGUAAGGUAAAAGCUUACCAAGGCGACGAUCAAUAGCUGUUCUUAGAGGAAGACCAGCCACAUUGGGACUGAGACACGGCCCAGACUCCUACGGGAGGCAGCAGUGGGGAAUCUUGCACAAUGGGGGAAACCCUGAUGCAGCGAUGCCGCGUGAGUGAAGAAGGCCCUUGGGUUGUAAAACUCUUUCGUCGGGGAAGAAAAUGACUGUACCCGAAUAAGAAGGUCCGGCUAACUUCGUGCCAGCAGCCGCGGUAAUACGAAGGGACCUAGCGUAGUUCGGAAUUACUGGGCUUAAAGAGCUCGUAGGUGGUUAAAAAAGUUGAUGGUGAAAUCCCAAGGCUCAACCUUGGAACUGCCAUCAAAACUUUUUAGCUAGAGUGUGAUAGAGGUAAGUGGAAGUUCUAGUGUAGAGGUGAAAUUCGUAGAUAUUAGAAAGAACACCAAAUACGAAGG
rnacentral:rRNA from 1 species